AAAACAUUUUUCUCAUAAUAAUGAAAUGGAUGGGACUACGAUUGACUUCAUGGCAUAAUAAUCAAGAACUUUUAAAGUAAGCAAAAGCAACCAAAAAAACCAACCAGCUACCUCGCAUUGUCAACAAUCCCAAAAUUUGGGCAUCAAAUUCAGAUGCUCGAACCAAAGAAGGGUUCUAAAACUUGAACAUACUAAGCUCAAUUGUCAACACCAAUUUUUUUUUUAAAAAAAAAAUCAACAGCAUGUUAACUGAACCAAGCAUCCAAGAACUCUCCAUUCAACAAGGAAUUCCAUCCAACACUUUGCGCGCAUCUGGAAACUGACAAAGAGACACAAAGAGCACUUUGCAUGAGAAGACACGGCAUACUGAGUUACUGGCCCGCAUGUCCCUUGUGUGGCCAGCUCCUCCUCCAUGUGGUACAGUAAGUUGAGCUCCAUGUGAACUUGUCUAUGGCGACCCAUGAUAUAAUCCUGGAACUUCGGAAAAAAUAGAGUGAAAAGGUUAUUGGAAAACAAUCCAUUCAGAUGAAGGUUAUAUGGCUGAAAACUUGAGGGCUAACCCACGAAAAUAACAAAUUGUUUUGGAUAUUAAUACACUCACUUAUAAGCAAGAAGCAACCAAACAUUAAACUCAUGUUUUUCAAACCUCAAUUCACCGGUUCAUCAUAUUAAAAAAAUGGACUAAAAAUCAUUUGAAUUAUUAGCAGGAAAGCAAACAAAUACAGCGAAUGAGAGUGAACUCAAAUCGCUGUAGGAGAGAGGCAAGAGCCUAAGAACACUAAUAGAUUUAGCACUCCUUAGAAGGAUUUUAGGCCUUGUUUAGUUCAACCAAAAAACCAAAAACUUUUCAAGAUUCCCCAUCACAUCAAAUCUUGCGGCACAUGCAUAAUAUUAAAUAUAGAUGAAAACAAAAACUAAUUGCACAGUUUGCUUGUAAAUCGCGAGAUGAAUCUUUUGAGUUUAGUUAAUCCAUGAUUGGACAGUAUUUGCCAAAUAAAAACAAAGUGCUACAGUACCCGAAGUCAAAUUUUUUGGGAACUAAACAAGGCCUUAAUGAACAGCGACAUGUUCUGCACGGGCUGCAUGCAUGGAAGUCAAAAUAAUAAUGAACGUGGCAAUUUGAUUGAGUUGUGUUUUUUUUAUGGGGGAGUGAAUUGUGUUUGGUCAAGUUGAUUCUUCACAUUUAUCAUGUAUAUAUGAUUGUUGUACAUAUGUUACCAGUCUCCAGAUUUAACAGAUGAAGUGAAAAAUCUAUGCACAAACCUGUGCAAUAGAAGCAGACCCAACAGGCUCAACAAGUUCUUUCCGAACUGUAUCUCCACAACAAAUGGCGUGGCCAGUGUCUAUUGCACGACAUUCAAGGCUUUUUCACCCAAGCCAUCAGCACCAAGUCAAGUAUUCCUAAAAUUUGAGCAGCCAGUUCAAAAUUCACCAAUACAAUAUCACAUAGCAAUCAAAACAUAACAUGAUGAUAUAAAAGAAGCACAAGUGCAAUCACAGUUUUGGGGACAAUUGAUCGAGGCUGGGGAAAAUCAGAGAGGUGGGGAAAAAUAGGACAAACUGAAGCACACAAACCUAUCCGGCUUAAAGCAAAGGGAGUACAUCUUCUGGGCACCGAGCUCGUGUUUCUGCUCUCACAUGGCCUCCCACUCUUCAUCCUUUACGAACCCCUCACGCAAC
rnacentral:lncRNA from 1 species